AAAAUGUAGGCAUAAGUAACGAUAAUGCGGGCGAGAAACCCGCACACCGAAAAACUAAGGUUUCCACAGCUAUGCUAAUCAGCUGUGGGUUAGUCUGGACCUAAGGCGAACCCGAAAGGGACAGUCGAUGGCCAACGGGUUAAUAUUCCCGUACUGCUUAUUACUGUGAUGGGGUGACGGAGUGAUGAAAGCGCCGCGAACUGACGGAAUAGUUCGUUGAAGUACCUACCUAUAAGAUGCGCAGGCAAAUCCACGCGUCUUGGGGAAAUACGAUAGUACUCGGAGUCUUCGGACAAAGAGAUAGUGCGCCUAAGGGCUUCCAAGAAAAACCUCUAAACUUCAGGUAAUGAGCACCAGUACCGUAAACCGACACAGGUAGUUGAGGAGAGAAUCCUAAGGUGCUCGAGAGAUUCAUGGCUAAGGAAUUAGGCAAAAUAGACCCGUAACUUCGGGAGAAGGGUCGCCACGCCAUUGGCGUGGCCGCAGUGAAGAGGUCCAGGCGACUGUUUAUCAAAAACACAGGGCUCUGCAAAAUCGCAAGAUGAGGUAUAGGGCCUGACACCUGCCCGGUGCUGGGAGGUUAAGAGGAGAUGUUAUCUUCGGAGAAGCAUUGAAUUGAAGCCCCAGUAAACGGCGGCCGUAACAAUAACGGUCCUAAGGUAGCGAAAUUCCUUGUCGGGUAAGUUCCGACCUGCACGAAUGGUGUAACGAUCUGGACACUGUCUCAGCCAUGAGCUCGGUGAAAUUGUAGUAACGGUGAAGAUGCCGUUUACCCGCAGUGGGACGAAAAGACCCUGUGCACCUUUACUAUAGCUUAGUAUUGACCUUGGAUAAAUGAUGUGUAGGAUAGGUUGGAGACUUUGAAGCGGCGUCGCCAGGCGUUGUGGAGUCAUUGUUGAAAUACAACCCUUUGUUUAUCUGAGGCCUAACCCCGCUUUGCGGGGGACAUUGCUUGGUGGGUAGUUUGACUGGGGUGGUCGCCUCCAAAAGAGUAACGGAGGCUUCUAAAGGUUCCCUCAGUACGCUUGGUAACCGUGCGUAGAGUGCAAUGGCAUAAGGGAGCUUGACUGAGAGACAUACAGGUCGAUCAGGUACGAAAGUAGAGCAUAGUGAUCCGGUGGUUCCGCAUGGAAGGGCCAUCGCUCAAAGGAUAAAAGGUACGCCGGGGAUAACAGGCUGAUCUCCCCCAAGAGCUCAUAUCGACGGGGGGGUUUGGCACCUCGAUGUCGGCUCGUCACAUCCUGGGGCUGGAGAAGGUCCCAAGGGUUGGGCUGUUCGCCCAUUAAAGUGGCACGCGAGCUGGGUUCAGAACGUCGUGAGACAGUUCGGUCUCUAUCUACUGUGGGCGCAAGAAAUUUGAGUGGAUCUGAUUCUAGUACG
rnacentral:rRNA from 1 species